rnacentral:lncRNA from 1 species
CCGCCCUGGGUCCUGAAGGAAAUAGAGGCCUGCCCGGGGGCCUGGAGCGGAGGGAGGCGGGGCAGUGCGGGGCGGUGGCUGGGUCCAGAGUCCCGAGAGGCCUGGCUGCAGGGGAAUGAAGCCUCCGCCUUCCCCGGCAGAAGCAUUUAAAUACGGCCGCGGGCCCCGGAUUCGGGGAGCGGUGUGUGGAGCCUUCGGCUUGGUAGUAAGGCGCUGUCCGAACGAACAGGACCCGAGCGGCAGCCAUGCUCCGGCCUUGGAAGUGGGACUAGGCCCUGGAACAGUUGAUGCCAACCAGAUGCCAGUUUCCCUUUUGUAGAGGUGGGACAGCUGCAGUGACAGUCGGAAAGAUAUCUUCCCACAGGUGAGAUUUUCAGAAGAUUCCUUCUAGCUUAGUCACUUAGUGUUCCCAACAUCAUCUUUCCCAUCCACUUAGGGUAGGGGAAGCAAGAUGGGUGAGGCAAGGAAAGAUAGGUGAUUGCCAGAAGUCAGCUUGGGUAGGUACUCUUGGUAUUUUCACCAAGGCAAGUCUUGCAAUCCUAAAAAUUUAAGAAGAAUGUUUUAUUUCUGUAGCUUCACAGGUGCUAAUAGAGACUUUUAACUCACUUACUUAGGCUCUUGAGGGAUCAGUUUUAAUAUUUCCUGUAAGUGAAUCCGUAUAGAAGAAUGCACCGUAACAGUUAAAGAGGUGAGGUAGGGGAAGGAUGGAUGUGACUUUAGAAUACAGUGAGUUUAAAGAAGCCAAGUGUAGAGACUGUCUAUGUAUGGUAUUUCUUCAGUUUGAAAAUAAGAUUAUGCCAGGCAUGAUGGUACAUACCUUUAAUCUCAGUACUUGGGAUUCAGACGUAUCUGAAUCUGAGGCCAGCCUGGUCUACAUAGCAUGUUCCAGGACAGCCAGAGCUGCAUAAUAGAGAAACCCUGUCUCAGAAAGACCAUAAGGCAUGCACACAUAAAUGAAUACAGUUGGGCAAAGUAACACUGGGAGUGUACACAAGAAACAAAGGAGCUGCCAUAGAAGCAGUCAGUAGGGAUGGGGGAGAAAUGAGGCUUCUUGAGAUAUUUUUUUCUUGUAACAUUUGACCUUGGCACUGACAGGAUGACUCCACUGGUAAAGGUUCUUGCCACCAUGCCUGAGCUAUAAAAUUUCAAGGCUUGCCUAUUUGGGGAACUAAAACUGUUUUGUUUUUUUUGUUUGUUUGUUUGUUUGUUUUUUUCAAUACUAAGAAUCAGACUCAAUAGCUCACCUUAUACAAGCUGGGCAAACAGCCUUUCACUGAACCACAGAUACAUUCUUGCCAAACACUGACUGGUCUUACCCAGAGCACCUUCUCUGAUCCAUACUGGAGUCCACAACAGACUGCUAAGCUGUCUGACUAUUUUCCUUC